GAUGAACGCUAGCGGGAGGCCUAACACAUGCAAGCCGAGCGGUAUUGUUUCUUCGGAAAUGCGAGAGCGGCGUACGGGUGCGUAACACGUGUGCAACCUGCCUUUAACUGGGGGAUAGCCUUUCGAAAGGAAGAUUAAUACUACAUAAUAUAUUGAACGGCAUCGUUUAAUAUUGAAAGCUCCGGCGGAUAGAGAUGGGCACGCGAAAGAUUAGCUAGUUGGUGAGGUAACGGCUAACCAAGGCGAUGAUCUUUAGGGGGCCUGAGAGGGUGAUCCCCCACACUGGUACCGAGACACGGACCAGACUCCUACGGGAGGCAGCAGGGAGGAAUAUUGGUCAAUGGGUGCAAGCCUGAACCAGCCAUCCCGCGUGAAGGACGACUGCCCUAUGGGUUGUAAACUUCUUUUGUAUAGGGAUAAACCUACCCUCGUGAGGGUAGCUGAAGGUACUAUACGAAUAAGCACCGGCUAACUCCGUGCCAGCAGCCGCCGUAA
rnacentral:rRNA from 1 species